UCCCCUAGUAACUGCGAGUGAAGCGGGAAAAGCUCAAAUUUAAAAUCUGGUAGUCUUUGGCUGCCCGAGUUGUAAUCUAGAGAAGCAUUAUCCGCGCUGGACCAUGUAUAAGUCUCCUGGAAUGGAGCGUCAUAGAGGGUGAGAAUCCCGUCUUCGACAUGGACUACCAGGGCUUUGUGAUGUGCUCUCAAAGAGUCGAGUUGUUUGGGAAUGCAGCUCUAAAUGGGUGGUAAAUUCCAUCUAAAGCUAAAUAUUGGCGAGAGACCGAUAGCGAACAAGUACCGUGAGGGAAAGAUGAAAAGAACUUUGGAAAGAGAGUUAAACAGUACGUGAAAUUGUUGAAAGGGAAACGCUUGAAGUCAGUCACAUUGGCCAGGGAUCAACUUUGCUUUUGCUUGGUGUACUUCCUGGUUAAUGGGUCAGCAUCAAUUUUGACCAGUGGAAAAAGAUCAAGGGAAUGUGGCAUCUUCGGAUGUGUUAUAGCCUUUGGUUGCAUACAUUGGUUGGGAUUGAGGAACUCAGCACGCCGCAAGGCCGGGUUUUUUUACCACGUUCGUGCUUAGGAUGCUGGCAUAAUGGCUUUAAUCGACCCGUCUUGAAACACGGACCAAGGAGUCUAACAUGCCUGCGAGUGUUUGGGUGGAAAACCCAAGCGCGUAAUGAAAGUGAAAGUUGGGAUCCCUGUCGUGGGGAGCACCGACGCCCAGACCAGACCUUCUGUGACGGCUCUGCGGUUGAGCAUGUAUGUUGGGACCCGAAAGAUGGUGAACUAUGCCUGAAUAGGGUGAAGCCAGAGGAAACUCUGGUGGAGGCUCGUAGCGAUUCUGACGUGCAAAUCGAUCGUCGAAUUUGGGUAUAGGGCGAAAGACUAAUCGA
rnacentral:rRNA from 1 species